rnacentral:lncRNA from 1 species
UGUUCAUUCAAUAUGUUUUUUGCAAUUGGCUUCAGUAAAUAAAUUAAAUUGUCCUGUACAAUUUAAACAAUACAGAUAGAGUCAUGUGAGAUAAUUAAAAAAAUUUGAUUGGUGUAAUUGUGUAAUAUAAAUCAACAGUUAUUUACAAUAGUUAAAUUGACCUAAUGAACAUUUGUUUAUUGAGGGCUCCUUGCGCAUGCGUCGUGUCAUGUUAGAACCUCCAAUAGGGGGCAGCACUGAAAACAACCGCACUUGACUCUGCUCAAUUAAAGCAGCAGAAAUAUCACGACAUGUGCUCUGGAAGUUUCUUGCAUUGCAACCGCAACCAACUGACCUAGACCGAGACGGUGACUCUGGACUGUGCCACCCCAGCGGUAAAAGGGAGUAUCCCACACCACAGCAAUAGGGUGGUGACUCAAAGGCCAACUCUCUGUUGUGCUGCUACUGGCUGGUUAACUCCUUCUGGAUCACUGCAGAGUUUUUAAGGAUCACGUCCAUUGGAGACUACAUUUGCUGCACAUUUGAAUAAACACGCUGCCAAACUCAUGGAAGUUGUAAGAAGGAAAGGAGGAGCUAUUGGAGACAAUGCUGCAGGGAUUCUACAUGAUCAUGAUGAGGCUUCAUCAAACGGUUCACUGAACGCAUCUACACGAAGGCAGUGUCUUCUGAAGUUACUGAUGGUUUUCCUGGGAGACCCUGUGGAUGCAAUCAUCAAAGAACAUCAGGACCUGCAAGAUUCGAAUGUGGAAGUAGAGACCAUGGCAGUCAUCCUAAUGCCCACAGAUGUGAAAAUCAUUCUGGAAGGCGAAGAGGUUAUGGCUGAUCUGCAUUCGGUGGUCGACGGAUUCGUCAUGCUGUUUGGGCUCAUUUAUCCCCUCAACAUGCAGUACCCAAAGUCGUGUGGACGUACAUUUGAGUUUGUUCAGAAGGUUCUUAUGGGACUGGAUGACAAGAAAAUGAACAAAAAGAAUGACUACCUACAAGCACUUUUUCUGGAACUAUGUUGUGUAACUGCUUGGGUAAAGAGACUGACAAGAUCAGUUUUUCUAGGGAGAAGCUGAAAAUAUUCAAGUUAAAGAGACACAACCAUUUGGGCAAAUAUGCUCAUUUUCCAAACUAUUGAGUUUUACCUUUCCCCUGUUCAUCCAGCUGUUCUCUGAGUCUGGCGACCCCAUUUGUGGCUUUAGCUUAGCAUGAAUCAUUGAAUCGGAUUAGGCUGAUAACACCUAAUGCUAAUUGCUAAUGGUCUAAUCCGAUUCAAUGAUUCAUGCUAAGCUAAAGCCACAAAUGGGGUCUCCAGACUCAGAGAACAGCUGGAUGAACAGGGGAAAGGUAAAACUCAACAGUUUAACUCGAGGGGAGGUGGGAAAUGAGCAUAUUUGCCCAAAUGGUGGUGUGUCCCUUUAAACAUUGUUCAAACUCCAAAUCUAUAAAUAUUUUUUAUUUAUUUUUGCAUUUGUAACCCUACAAAAUGUUAUCCUGACCACUGUUAAAUUAGGACAAAAUAAAAUAAUUGAUUAGUAUAAAAAGAUUUAAUUA